GGAAGCACUGUCCACAGAGGCUGAGGAGACAGAGAGCAUGUAGUCAUGUCUUUAUAAUAUUCAAAACAUGACUGAAGGCUGGCGGAGGAGGAUCCACCUGUCCAGGGACUGCAGGAGGAAUAUAAGUUUUUGCCAAAGCCUGGCACAAAACAUAUUUCCUUUUACAGGUCAAUAUAUUGUUGUGUAUGUCCAUGUCAAAUAAAUUAUUUAAAAAAUGU